GGGAUAGCUAGUGUAGAUAGCGGGUGCUCACACAGCGGUUUCGCUGGUGCCUUUGACAUAUGCUGGCGUGUAGCCACGUUAUCUUCCCGCACAGCCUGUAAAGAUACGCCUCAGAGGGCCCUCCUUCACUUGAUUUGUAGCAGAGCAGCGUAGAAUGCGAGCGGGCAGAGGCAGAGGCCGUGCGGGUGUCGGAUGCGACCGACGUCAAAUCGGACGCGGCGAUGGCACCGAUACUCCACGAUCGACAACAAUCAUAGGAACGUGUCAGGAUAUGUGUCCACCGCGUGAGCGUCAGUGGCGUGAAAAAGAACGUCUCCUUCAUCCUUUCGAGGUCGCCGAUGGCACGGAAAAUGAUGCUCGGCCUAAGGCUGACAGAAACAAAGCCAUCAAGCAAUUCUCCAGGUCGGCUGCUGGACAGAGAGAAGCCACUUCUGAUGAACUGAGGCCACCACAAGUAUUGCUCAAGACAACAGCUUACUUAAUGCGCAUGAUUGUCCCAUCAUGCAGUGGAGACAGUUGGACUGACACAUACCACUUCGUGUGGGACAGAUUGUGGGCUGUACGCCAGGACAUGACCAUCCAGGGUCUUAACGGUGGCGAAUGCAUCGAAAUACUGGAACAGGCUGUGCGUUUUUAUGUCUAUUCGGCCUUCAGGUGCUUCGAAGAAGAUAUGAAUGCCUUUGAUCCUCACAUCAACAGCCAGCACCUACAGGAAUGUUUGAAGCGCCUGUUAGUUCAGUAUCAGCAGUUCACUGUAUACCAGUGCGUGAACCGACCAGAAAUGGAAGCCAUCUACAUUCUUCAUAACCUGGGAUCAUUUGAUGCUCUAGCUCAUGCGCUGACUCUUCCGAAGGAAAUAAGAAAUCACAGUUUGGUCAAGAGUUCUCUGGACACAAGCCUGGCACACAGGAAAGGAAACUUUAUUCGAGUUCUGAAGAACUACAAGGCCCUUCGCCCUCUUCUUGCUUGUGCUUUGCACUCACACUUGGAGCUCAUUAGAAGCGCUGCAGGUUAUGACAGUGGCUUUCAGCUCUCAGAACUGCAAGUUUCCCCUGUCCACGUUAGGCCGCUGGCUCUGCUGCCCUGAGCACACCGCAAGGGAACUGUGCCUUCUCUACCAGCUACCAGUCCAAGACUCCGAAGUGAAGUUUCUGAAAGGUCAUGGAGAUUUCACAUUGAAACAAUCCAAGAAGCACCGGGAUGCGGCCCUCAUGAAGGUCUUGUCUGAAAGCGACAUCGGUGCUUUACUUUGUCCUGAUGACAAAAGACAGCCAAGGGAAGUGAGGUGACAACAGAUGACGCCAGUGCAUUUGACAGAGGUGCACUUCACUGCUUCGAAAUCAAGAGCACAGAUUUUCUUAAUUUAUUUUCACACCACAAUAAAAACAUGCUCAUUUUCA
rnacentral:misc_RNA from 1 species